AGUGAACGCUGGCGGUAGGCCUAACACAUGCCAGUCGAACGGCAGCACAGUAAGAGCUUGCUCUUACGGGUGGCGAGUGGCGGACGGGUGAGGAAUACAUCGGAAUCUACUUUUUCGUGGGGGAUAACGUAGGGAAACUUACGCUAAUACCGCAUACGACCUACGGGUGAAAGCAGGGGAUCUUCGGACCUUGCGCGAUUGAAUGAGCCGAUGUCGGAUUAGCUAGUUGGCGGGGUAAAGGCCCACCAAGGCGACGAUCCGUAGCUGGUCUGAGAGGAUGAUCAGCCACACUGGAACUGAGACACGGUCCAGACUCCUACGGGAGGCAGCAGUGGGGAAUAUUGGACAAUGGGCGCAGGCCUGAUCCAGCCAUACCGCGUGGGUGAAGAAGGCCUUCGGGUCGUAAAGCCCUUUUGUUGGGAAAGAAAAGCAGCAGGUUAAUACCCCGCUGUUCUGACGGUACCCAAAGAAUAAGCACCGGCUAACUUCGUG
rnacentral:rRNA from 1 species